CAAUAGCGUAUAUUAAAGUUGUUGCGGUUAAAAAGCUCGUAGUUGGAUUUCUGCUGAGAACGACCGGUCCGCCCUUUGGGUGUGUAUCUGGCUCUUUCUUGGCAUCUUCUUGGUGAACGUUGCUGCACUUGACUGUGUGGAGCGCUACCCAGGACUUUUACUUUGAGGAAAUUAGAGUGUUUCAAGCAGGCAUACGCCUUGAAUACAUUAGCAUGGAAUAAUAAGAUAGGACCUCGGUUCUAUUUUGUUGGUUUCUAGAGCUGAGGUAAUGAUUAAUAGGGAUAGUUGGGGGCAUUCGUAUUUAACUGUCAGAGGUGAAAUUCUUGGAUCAGCUAAAGACGGACGACUGCGAAAGCGUUUGCCCAAGAUGUUUUCAUUG
rnacentral:rRNA from 1 species